rnacentral:rRNA from 1 species
UGCAAGUCGAACGAGUCCAGUCUUUCGGGACUGAGGCGAGUGGCGGACGGGUGAGUAACACGUGAACAACCUAUCCUUGUGCGGGGGACAACCCGGGGAAACCCGGGCUAAUACCGCAUGGGCGGGCACUCCGAGUGGAGAGCCUGGGAAACAUGGCCUCUUUACAAUGCUGUGGUGCAGGGAGGGGUUCGCGGGCUAUCAGCUUGUUGGUGAGGUCACGGCUCACCAAGGCGAUGACGGGUAGCUGGUCUGAGAGGACGACCAGCCACACUGGAACUGAGACACGGUCCAGACACCUACGGGUGGCAGCAGUCGAGAAUUUUUCUCAAUGGGGGCAACCCUGAAGGAGCGACGCCGCGUGGAGGAUGAAGGUCUUCGGAUUGUAAACUCCUGUCAUUGGGGAACAAGGUGCAGUGGUUAACUGCCAGUGCAUUGAUAGUACCUGAAGAGGAAGGGACGGCUAACUCUGUGCCAGCAGCCGCGGUAAUACAGAGGUCCCAAGCGUUGUUCGGAUUCAUUGGGCGUAAAGGGUACGUAGGUGGCGGGGCAAGUCAGGUGUGAAAUCCCGGGGCUCAACCCCGGAACUGCAUUUGAUACUGCCUUGCUGGAGUACUGGAGAGGAGACUGGAAUUUACGGUGUAGCAGUGAAAUGCGUAGAGAUCGUAAGGAAGACCAGUGGCGAAGGCGAGUCUCUGGACAGUUACUGACACUGAGGCACGAAGGCCAGGGGAGCAAACGGGAUUAGAUACCCCGGUAGUCCUGGCAGUAAACGGUGCGCGUUUGGUGUGGGAGGAUUCGACCCCUUCCGUGCCGGAGCUAACGCGUUAAACGCGCCGCCUGGGGAGUACGGUCGCAAGAUUAAAACUCAAAGAAAUUGACGGGGGCCCGCACAAGCGGUGGAGUAUGUGGCUUNNCGAUGCAC